CGUAGGGUGCAAGCGUUAAUCGGAAUUACUGGGCGUAAAGCGUGUGUAGGCGGUUCGGAAAGAAAGAUGUGAAAUCCCAGGGCUUAACCUUGGAACUGCAUUUUUAACUGCCGAGCUAGAGUAUGUCAGAGGGGGUAGAAUUCCACGUGUAGCAGUGAAAUGCGUAGAUAUGUGGAGGAAUACCGAUGGCGAAGGCAGCCCCCUGGGAUAAUACUGACGCUCAGACACGAAAGCGUGGGGAGCAAACAGGAUU
rnacentral:rRNA from 1 species